rnacentral:misc_RNA from 1 species
UCAAACUUGGUCAUUUAGAGGAAGUAAAAGUCGUAACAAGGUCUCCGUAGGUGAACCUGCGGAGGGAUCAUUAGUGAAAAAUCAUAGCAGGAGGAUGUGCUGGCCGUGCGGCAUGUGCACUCUGAAUGCAAUCCACUUACCCCUGUGCACUAUCGACCUUGACCUGCUGCCGCCAACUCGUUUGGUGCGGCCGGUCUUGGUACUUUACACACUCUUUGUCUCAGAAUGUCUCUUGUGCUUAAUGCGCAGAAAUACAACUUUCAACAACGGAUCUCUUGGCUCUCGCAUCGAUGAAGAACGCAGC